GGGGAUGUGGUUUAGUGGUAUAAUGCUUCCUUAGCAGCAUCAGCGACUCGAGCUGAUGUUCGCAUUCAUGGAAGAGGUCCCGAGUUCGAUUCUUGGCGUCUCCA
rfam:Magnaporthe oryzae 70-15 chromosome 7, whole genome shotgun sequence.